GGGAGCGGAUGGGGCCCGGUGGCUCUCGCGGACUUCAAAUCCGUUGCCCUGCCGCCCGCGCGGUGGGGGGUGGGUUCGACUCCCUCGCGCUCCCGCCA
rnacentral:tRNA from 1 species